GACGAACGCUGGCGGCGUGCUUAACACAUGCAAGUGGAGCGACGAACCGGGGCUUGCCCCGGGGCAGAGCCGCGAACGGGUGAGUAACACGUGGGUGACCUACCCUCAGCUCUGGGAUAAGCCUGGGAAACCGGGUCUAAUACUGGAUAUGACUCCAUGACGCAUGUUGUGGGGUGGAAAGCCUUGUGCGGCUGAGGAUGGGCCCGCGGCCUAUCAGCUUGNGGUGGGGUGAUGGCCUACCAAGGCGACGACGGGUAGCCGGCCUGAGAGGGCGACCGGCCACACUGGGACUGAGACACGGCCCAGACUCCUACGGGAGGCAGCAGUGGGGAAUCUUGCGCAAUGGGCGAAAGCCUGACGCAGCGACGCCGCGUGAGGGAUGACGGCCU
rnacentral:rRNA from 1 species